UACGGGGGGGGCAAGCGUUGUUCGGAAUUACUGGGCGUAAAGGGCUCGUAGGUGGCCAACUAAGUCGGACGUGAAAUCCCUCGGCUUAACCGGGGAACUGCGUCCGAUACUGGUUGGCUUGAGUUUGGGAGAGGGAUGCGGAAUUCCAGGUGUAGCGGUGAAAUGCGUAGAUAUCUGGAGGAAUACCGGUGGCGAAGGCGGCAUCCUGGACCGACAUUGACGCUGAGGAGCGAAAGCCAGGGGAGCAAACGGG
rnacentral:rRNA from 1 species